rnacentral:lncRNA from 1 species
CCACCCGCUUCGCGGGGUCACCUGUCUAAGCCUCAAGCCAGUCGGGCUCAGGGCCAUUUUCCCACGGAGUAAGAACCAGAACGCCAGCUGCCCCAGCGGCGCUCGCACCAUCCACCCUUGAAAUUGCCGUAGAAGAGACAGAAACUGAAAACCAUGGUUUCAGGCUGCUAAAAACCUAACAUGAAACAAAACAGAAGAACAACAACAACAAAAUAAGGAAGAGUGACCUAUGGGAUCCAUGGAGGAGCUGCUUCCUGAAUCUGUGUAAAGUAGAUCUUGCCGUGUGGGUAACUGUGACUGCGGUGGCCAUGAAGAGGCACAACUCAGACCUCGGAUCUCCUGCUGCAGAGAACAUUGACUGACAGCCCAGCAGCUCCUGUCUGGAUCUACCACCUGUUCACAAUUCUGAAAUACAUUCAACGCACACUUUCCUACUGAGAUUUCUAAAAUGGGACUUGGAAAACAGAAAAAUACUAAAGUGGGGUACUAUCAUCUAAAUCUCCAAAAAGGUCAUUCAACUCUGAUCCCUGUUUAAAGAGAGAAAAAAGGAAUAAAGGAGCCUUUGAAGGCAGAAUAUUGCUCACUCAUCUCUUUGAAAGGACCUCAGACUGCAGAGCAGAAGAACCACUGGCUACAUCAGCUGGGGCAGAGGGGGAUGAAGAGAACAUCAUGAUGCCUGCAAAAAAGUGGGCUCUGCAGGAUCUCCAGUCACCUCCCUUCCCUUCAGAUCCAGAGCUCUCUCUGGCUAGGACCUUCCAGAGUUCCAGAAUUUUUGUUCCACCUUCCAUUGCUCACUUCUAUUACUAUUACUAAGAUAUUCACAUGGAAUUCUGUGCAAACCAUUUUUUUUUUCUUUUGGUGCCCUCUUUGUUUUACUUCCUCUAUUGGGACUAAUGGCCAUCUGACUUGGGGGUCCUUUGUUUUUUGUGACAAACCACCCUCAGCAGAUUUCCUUGAGGUCCAUUUGCUCAAGGGCCUUAAAGCUUUUUGGAGUAAUACAGAGUAAGUUUCUAGACAGCCUCUUGUGCUCUGCAGUAAGCUAAAGUGGAAGAUUAAGAUGCCUGGUGUAUACUGUGUGUUUCCCAUGUAAUGGCAGAAAAGGAAUGGGGCUCAUUAGUUACUUUAAGGUGGCAGCAGCUACCUUAGAGAAGACUGCAUUGCUUGUACUGAUUCAAAAGAGCACCUAAUGAAGGGAAAAAGCAGAAAUAAGCCAAGACUUGAGCUGAGUGAUUCGUUGAAUCAGCCAAGGAUAAUGUUCUUCAGGCACUAUGCACAUGUCACUGAUCAGUAGCGCUUCUCUUAAGCUUCAACAGCACUCACUUCCCCUGUCUUGAUGAGGUGAGCAGCACAUUUAAUUUCAGCUCCUGGGGCCAUCUGCAAACCUCUACUCCAUUCCUCAGCUGUGUUUGCUCCUCUGUUCUCAGGGAGCAGCAUUUUCACUGGAUGCAAACUGUGAGGCACUGUCUGGGCAAGCAGAUUGGUUACUAAUGAGGAAACUGGCACUGACAGCCUUUUGGGUUCUGAUUGAAGAAAAGAGAUGUCUUCGCAUCAGAAUGGUUUAACUUUCAAUGUGGCAUAUCAACUGGUUGAAAUUAGGGAGAGAGAGAAAGAGAAAUUUAAUUGUCAGGCUGUGGUGCGUAGUGUCAAAGCUACCUAGAUUAUGAGAAAUACGUCUUUUCAACAGCUUAAAGGCCACAGCUCUCAACAUUUUUUCUGCAUGUACAACACAGACAGGAUCCAGAAAUCCCAGCCUAUAACUCUUGGUUCCGUCAAAUACUCAACAGAGAAAACAGAAGUAUUUGAUUGUGGUAUUAACUAUGAAAUGUUCCCUAUUAGCCAUAUGAUUCUAUUAGCUCAGCUCAUUCCUGUUAGAUUUAUAGAAACAUUAGAGAUAAUUGGAAUUAGAAGGGCCAAGAGAGACGAUCCAAUCCCAUAUAGAGAAAAGCAAGACCCCUGCUCUCACUGAAGAAGUUUUAAAAAUAAUUAAACAACAAACAAACAAAUUGAGGCCCAGAGAGAUGAAGUAAUUUGACUGAUGUAUUCCAUCAGUGACAGACCUGGGACUGGAGCUCCAUCUCAGCUCUCAGCCCACUAAGAACCCUGUUCAUGGUGCCAUACUAGCAACCCCCUUCCUGUAGGAGUCUUUGAGAGUCAGAAUGACUUCUUGACUGAGAGGUACAUGUCUCUAGGAUAAGGACAAUUGAGGGGAUAAUGAGGAAAGAAAUAAUGUAAGUUAACUAUAUUUUGCCACAUGCCCUCCUCUCUCCAUGAAUCCAGGAUGUUGACCCAUAUCCAGCAUCCAUUGUGGGACUAAGUCUCGGACACCAAGGACUUCUAAGGAGCCUGCUCCAAUCUGAAAUGACUGUGGGGGAGCUGGCCAUUCCCCGAGCCAUUCUUGGAAUAUUGGGCCACAGGGGCCACUGGGGAGCAUGUAUAGGUAGGGGCGGCUUUGAUAUAAGCCUAGGUAUUCAAUUCUUCAUGGGACCCCCAAUGCUACCCCAAGUCUGCACCUUGAUUCCCAAAUACCCAAGAGAGACAAAAUGUCCUACUUUCUCUCUGAAGUUCUUCUAAUGUUGGAAGACCUAGGGUGGAGGCAAACCUUUCAGAGAAUUUCUGCUGGGAUUUAAAUGUAUGUCUAGCUGGCUUUAGACAUUAGAAGACUGUAAUAUGUACCUUAAUAAGUUGCCUUUCCCAUGGUGUUUGUUAUCCUCAGAAGACCCCCAUAGUGACUCUAGGAGACAAUUCUCAUAUCUUCUGAACUGUGCAUGUUCAUAGUUUUUCUGAGCAGGGUUUGCAUCUAGCAGCGAUGGAGGUAUAGGAGGUCACAGGCAACACUGCGUGCCUCACACAACAUUGUAGAUCAAGACACAGUUAAAUGGGCUGGCAAUUCUGAGUUUCUGAGUCCAGUCCCAUGACUAGUAUAGCUGUCAGAACUAGAGGGGCCAACCCUGGGAAUCUUGGAGAUGCUUUAUGAAUAUAUGAGAUUUCAGGCAUCCAAGCUCUUCUAUUUGUUUACAUGUAUUCUCAAUGUCUAUCUCCCAUUAUCAAAUCUAUUCCAAAAGUAUUUUUUCAACACUUGCUGGAGACUCUUGGAUAAAGCUAGUAAACGUGCUUUUAUUAAGCUCCAACUCUGUGCUGACCACUUAUACAUAUAUUGUCUCAGUUGCACUCAAAAUGCUAUUGUGUGUUAGGGUUCUUUCUUACAGAUUUUGAAACAGUGUCUUGGAGAGGUUAGGUGAAUUGCUCAAAAGACGCAGCAAGCACAGAGCUGUGACUUGGUCCUGUCUUAUCUGCUUUGGGGUUAUGGGUAGUUUAUCUUUAUAUGCCUAUUUUAACAGUAGACCCUCAACCACUGAAAUUGACAGGAAAAAGUAUGUGGUUGUUUUACCAAACAAACAAACAGACAAAAAACCAAACCCACCAAACCUGAAAUUUUUGGUUUGGUCAACAUUUUAAUUCAACUGUACUCAAUGUAUUAACAAUGGUGAUUUGAUAUGAUGGAUGUAAUUGAUAAUCAAUGCAGUGCCAUUUAUAGACUGCCUAAAAGUGCAUUGUACAUCAUUUUGACAACAUAUUUACCUGCAUUGUUUGGGCAAAAUGAAUUUUAAAAUUAUUUUUUGUUUCCUAAAUUUGUAUCAAUUGAAAAAAAAAAAGUCAUCUGGGUAGCAGACAGAAGUCAGCCUGGGACUACAGUGGGUCAUAACCCUGAGGAUUCAAAUGUGGGCAAUGGCAACAACAUCAGCGACUAAAGCUGUCAGUGGAGAAAAGAAGAAAGCACACGCCAGCCACCCUGCAGAACAAUGCAGUUCUUUCAGAGUCACAUAGUCCUAAAUCUGGAAACCAUCACAGCUGAGAGGAUAAGCUUUGGAACCCGAUAGUGGUCUAAAACUAGGCUCUGCCUGCCAUGGACAAACUACAAGAGACUGGGAAGUGAGUUAAACCUGAGCUAAAUCCCAGUUUCCUUCUCUGCAAAACAGGGAGUGGGGACAGUGGAAUAACACCUCCCUCAUAGAACUGUUGGGAGGCAUAAAUGACCCUCAGCACAGGGUGGUGUGUAUGGAAUGUGCAUCAUAAGUGGCAGCUAUUUUGAUAAUUACUAAACAUGAUGAAUGAUGAUAAGCGAAAUAAUAACACAGCUUUUCAACAUUUUCACUCAAUAAGUUAAAUUUAUAAUAGGCAAGCAAAGGAGUUUCCAGAAUUAAGCAUCUGAUGGGAGCUUAGACAGGUUGACUUUUACAGCUCAUUCUAACCCUGAGUGAGGGUCUGUGAUUUUAUAAGCCCUUUUAGGGUUCGAGUGCUACUUCUAAUCAAGAUCCUGGUAUCAUGUUUUUCUCCAUUACGUGGAACAAUAAUGAAUAGAUAAAUAAAAUAUAACUGGGAAAGGAGAACACAGAUUGAACACAUGCAUUUAUCUCCACUCUUGUCCAAAACCUCACAGUAAAAUAAUUUAAAAUACAUGAACCUAUAAGAACAAGAGAGGGGAGAUAUGAUGAAAGAGAAAACCAAAAUUUUGGAAGUUGGAAAAAAAUGGAAGGCUGGUUAGCCAAUUAGGGACAGUAGAAAGCUGCAUAUCUGUAAGGCACAUGCUGCCAAGAGAGAAAAGCAAGGCAAUUUGGAUGUGGAACCUCAGACAGGCUUAGAAUAGGAAACAGAUCCAUGAGUCAUGACACUGUGGUUGAGAUUUCUGCUUUAGCCAUUCCAGCGUAUGCUUGUUUUUCCCUAAAAGUCUUUACUCAUUUGUUUUCUCUCUUCCGCCCAGUGAACAUCUACUCAUUCUUCAAAACCCAGAACUGUUGUUGUUUCUUGAAAAAUGGAGAUUAUUCCAAAGUUCUUUUAGCCUUUGCAAUGUGAAGGCAUGUGUCAGGGUUGGGAGGAGUUGGGGAACAGCACCUCUUUCUUUUAACGUCCAAUUGAUUGAGGCCAAUGGGUCAUCCUGCCUCCUUCCCUAAAUAUUCCUGAGAAUGCUCAGAGAGGGCCCACAUGUUCCCUAAGUCCAUUCUGGUUACCCUGUGUGCCUUCUUGCUCUGGUCUGCUGCUCCCAGCUUCUUCACGAUCACUUGUGAUCAUUUGCUAGCCUUUUUUUAGUCCAUUUUACUCCAAAGCAAGAAUACAGUACUUGCUCCUUACUCUCCAAUGCUUACCAAUGCAACAACAAGAGGUAAUAGUAUUUAACAAAUUUUGAUACGGAGGAAAGGAAAACCUAAAAUAAGGUACCAUGUAUCACUAUUCCUGAAUUCUGUCAUCAUGUCCCUUUAAAGGCAGUGCUCUAUAGGUUCCGUCUCUCCUGUGGCCCCAGCCUGCUGCCACUGGAACAAGGGUCCAGGGUUCUUAAUGCACGGAAGUCUUCAUCUUAUCCCCCACAAAUCUACAGCCAAAAGAAGGAAAUACCCAUUGAUGACACGAUAGACAAUAUAACAGUUGACAAGAUAAUUGAUACAGCGUGCCCAAUGUGAAGAGAGAAUUUGUCACGGCUAGAGUAGUGAACCUUCUCCAGGUGAACCAUCUGCCGUUGGAAGCUUCCUUUUGUCCAGGGCUCCUGCAAGGCCAGUGAGUAGGUACUUCUAUCUACACAUGACUGAAAAAGACUUACCAAAACCAAUAUAUUCCCAAGGAUACUUUCUAAAUUCUACCCAAGGAGCAGAUGCUGCUCACAAUUCUCUAAAACAAGGUCUUUUUUUUUUCAACCCCAGAUAUAUCAAGAAUGGGACACAAUCUCCGAGGAAGAAAUUGUCAGCAUCUAUCUUGAAAAUAUCUUUGGUUUCCCAUUACAUUUCGGAUUUCUCUAGACCAUAUUUGUAGUUCCCUUUUUGGUGUUCCCAUUCUUGUAAGUUUAUAUAAACAGCAAUAAGACUAUAGCUCUUCUCACAGGAUACUUUGUUAUUUCUUAAUGGGACUGUCUGUCCUGUAGGCUAUGAGCUAUUUGAGGGCAAAGAAUAUUCUAUUCAUCUUUAUAUUCCUGGCACAUGGUAGGCACUCAGUAAUGCUGCUGCUGAAUUGAAUCGGCUGUGGGAAAAAAACAAAUGCUUCUCCUCAGUCAGCAUUUGUUUUCUAGGAUCUAUUCCAAUAUAUUUCCAACAAAAAUAUGAGAUUUAAAAGAUAGGCAGAGAGUGAAUUGAACUGAAUAUUGCACAAAAACUCCUUGUCUUUAAAGGUGGAAACAAAAUCCACCACCUUCCCAAGAUAGCUGUUCUGUCUCACAUCUUCUUGAAGCAAUGAAAUGAUGAGUACUGUGAUCAGAGAGGACCCUCAGAAAAUAAAUAAAAACCCAGCUCUACAAAUGCAGCCGUAAGCCAGGAGGAUAUGACGAAGGAUAUCAUUAUCAUCCUGAUAUUUUUAGAAGUUCUUUGGUGACAGGUCAGAUUUUUGAGAAUCAGAAAAUGAUAAAAAUAAUCUUGUUAUUCCACAAAGGAGGCUCUAUAUAUAUCAGGCCGAUUUUGAACACUGCCUGAGAAUGUUGAGAAAAUAUUUUUAAAUGUUAGUGAAAUGAUAGGCUUUGGGGGCAGACCCAGCCUCGCUUUAGAAAAAGCUUUAUCGUGGGGGGAUUGAGAGAUUUUAGUGAUGUGAGCAUUGUAAAGAAUCAGCAGUGAGUGGGUGUAAGUUUUUGUUUUCCAAUUUUCCAGAGGAGGGUCCACCUGGGAAGAAUUUCAUGAAAUUUACAGAAAUCUGAAAAUUGCUUUUGAAGCUAUUACAGGUACCUGGGGAGUCCUCCUUGGCCCCACAGGCUGACUACACUAUCCAGAUCUUAAGGGACUCUCAUCUUUCCUAACUUCUAGGUUGCAGGAUUCUGCAGAAUUACUUCUGCAGCUUCCAUUUGUAGCUAUUGCUAAGUGGACCCAUAGCUAUAUGGGAUGUGGGGCUCUGGAUUUCAGGUAGAAAUGACCCUUUGUUUAUUUGAGAUGUUUGCUUCUUUAAAUACUCAGCCAUCUGACUCUCUAAUUGUUUAGGAUUAGUCAUAAGUUAAGUAGGACAGGGAAGAUGUUAUAAAUAGUUUAUUGCAUAUCCAUUCAAGAAAUUUAGGCUAAGUUUAUAUAUUUUACCUUCUGAAAGGAGAAAGCCUGUGUGUUUAUUUAAAGCAUUGUAGAUUUUUUCUCAUUUAGAAUAUAUGAGUCUAGUAUAAAAAUUGAUUCUAGAUGAUUUAUAUGUAAGUUGCUCUUUUCUUCAUACUUAUUUUGCUACCUUUUUAUUUCAUGUUUUUUCUUAAGUAUGACUUUGAGCCUUUAAAAGUAUUUCCUUUAUGUCUCUUUUGAAUAUCAAAAACAACAUGAAUUAAAAAUAGAAGUCUACAUAUCAA